GAGAAAAACACUUUCAUCCUAAACUUCCGGAGCGGAGUGUCGACAGUUUCAAGGAGAGGAUCGGUGCUCCCCGUCCUGCGAUUCUGGGCUUCUUCUCAUCGUAGAAUCGAGACUCUGGAUGCAAAGCUGCGAUGAAUAGAUUCCGAUACUGAAAAAUCUCACCGUGGAGGACGAGGAUGGAAACUUACAGGAGACUCGAAGGAUUUUUUGAUCCUCUCGAACACCGCCUGGAAACCUGGGAUUCUCUGCUCGACAGGUAAGCUCUUUUGCAUCAUCCUCACGACCGACAACCAGGGCCAACUUGCUUACGGUUGAAUUGCUUCGUUGUGUAGAGACGAUUGAAGGAUCUCGGAUUACGUUUCCAUCCAGCGUCCAUAUUAUCCUUGCGGCCGGUGAACUUCCCCAAGUUUCGCACCUCGCUCCCACCGGACGUCCUGCGUAGAUCACUUCAGUAUCCAGAACGAUCUUCACCACUGCAGGCUUUACUGGAAUGGAAUUCAAACGGAUUUACAUUAUUAAUUUCAUCAAAAGAUUCAUAACCAGUGAUCCUGAAAACCGACGAACACUAUCUUAUAAAAGUCGACUCAGCACAAUAACGUGUGACUCAAAGGGUUGAGGAGCUCGAGGAGUGGAAAAUAGUUAUCAAUGGAAUACCUCCGGUCACUUCUGGCGUGGCGCUAAAGACUCGGCUGAAAUACUUGGGGAAAGUGAGAGAAUUUUAGAUUCCAAAAGGCAGAGGAAACCUAAGAAAAAGAAGUCUGAAGUGGAAAAUGAAGAAGAUCAAAAAUCAGGGGU